rnacentral:RNase_P_RNA from 1 species
GUAAUAGAUGAGGAAAGUCCGAGCAUCAAGAGAACUGGGUGCCGAUUAACGAUCGGCGGAGGCGACUCUAGGGACAGUGCAACAGAAAUAAACCGCCGUUAUGGUAAGGAUGGAAAGGUGGUGUAAGAGACCACCGCUUGACUUGAGAAAGUCAAGGCUCUGUAAACCCCACCUGAUGCAAGGUCUAAAGGGCAAUGUGCUUGUUCUCUCACGCCCUUGCAGUACCGCUUGAGCAUAUUGGCAACAAUAUGCCUAGAUAGAUGAUUGUCUAAUACAGAACUCGGCUUAUAGCAUA